GACACCUCUGGAGGGCAAUUUACGGCAGUAGGAGGGGCGAGAAAGAAGGAGAAAAGGAAUUCGAGCAAGAGCAACUUUCAAAAAUGGCUCAGCCGAGACCCAAAGAAGUUACAUAACUUCCCAAAGUCACGCAAGAAGAAAGUGAAAGUGUCAAUUUUCGAAUCCAGGUCUUUAACUCAGAAGCAUAUAUCAUUUGCCGGAGGGAGGCUUCUGGGAUACUGGUAAUGUUUUAUAUUUUGAUCUGGGUAGUGGUUAACUUUUUUUUUUCUUUCAGUUUUUACUUCGGUAAAAAUUAAUCGAGCUGCACGCCUACGCUUUGUGAACUUUAGAACACAAGUUAUAUUUCAAUAAAGUGUUUUUAAGUACCUAAAUUCAAAA